rnacentral:rRNA from 1 species
UGCAGUCGAGCGAGGACGUGGCUUCGGCCACGAGUCGAGCGGCGAACGGGUGAGUAACGCGUGGGCAACCUGCCCGGAAGUGGGGGAUAGUUUCGCGAAAGCGGAGGUAAUACCGUAUACGUCCACUAAGACAUAAGUUUUAGUGGAGAAAGGUUGGGACCCUUCGGGGCCAGCCGCUUCCGGAUGGGCCUGCGUCCGAUUAGCUUGUUGGUGGGGUAAUGGCCUACCAAGGCUGCGAUCGGUAGCCGACCUGAGAGGGUGAUCGGCCACAUUGGGACUGAGACACGGCCCAGACUCCUACGGGAGGCAGCAGUGGGGAAUAUUGGGCAAUGGGCGAAAGCCUGACCCAGCGACGCCGCGUGGGGGAUGACGGCUUUCGGGUUGUAAACCCCUGUCAGGAGGGACGAAAUCUUUGCGGUGAAUAGCCGCAAAGUCUGACGGUACCCCCAAAGGAAGCCCCGGCUAACUCCGUGCCAGCAGCCGCGGUAAUACGGAGGGGGCAAGCGUUAUUCGGAAUUACUGGGCGUAAAGCGCGCGCAGGUGGCGUGACAAGUGGUUGGUGAAAGCCCUCGGCUCAACCGAGGAAUUGCCUGCCAAACUGUUUCGCUUGAGGCUGGGAGGGGGAGAGCGGAAUUCC